rnacentral:rRNA from 1 species
GGUAUAGGCUUUCGGGCCUAGAGACCGGCGCACGGGUGCGUAACGCGUAUGCAAUCUACCUUUCACAGAGGGAUAGCCCAGAGAAAUUUGGAUUAAUACCUCAUGGUAUAUAGGAGUGGCAUCACUUUUAUAUUAAAGUCACAACGGUGAAAGAUGAGCAUGCGUCCCAUUAGCUAGUUGGUAAGGUAACGGCUUACCAAGGCGACGAUGGGUAGGGGUCCUGAGAGGGAGAUCCCCCACACUGGUACUGAGACACGGACCAGACUCCUACGGGAGGCAGCAGUGAGGAAUAUUGGUCAAUGGGCGCAAGCCUGAACCAGCCAUGCCGCGUGCAGGAUGAAGCAUCUAUGGUGUGUAAACUGCUUUUGUACGGGAAGAAACAGAGGUUCGUGAACCUCCUUGACGGUACCGUAAGAAUAAGGAUCGGCUAACUCCGUGCCAGCAGCCGCGGUAAUACGGAGGAUCCAAGCGUUAUCCGGAAUCAUUGGGUUUAAAGGGUCCGUAGGCGGUUUAGUAAGUCAGUGGUGAAAGCCCAUCGCUCAACGGUGGAACGGCCAUUGAUACUGCUAGACUUGAAUUAUUAGGAAGUAACUAGAAUAUGUAGUGUAGCGGUGAAAUGCUUAGAUAUUACAUGGAAUACCAA